rnacentral:sRNA from 1 species
UUUUUGCGUUAGGGAUAGCAGUGAAAAUCCUUUUUAAAACCUAUUGAAAAAAAACUUUGGUAAAGACUAAAAAUUUAUAAGAGAUUUUGUCGUGCUUCCUUACAAUAACUUUUUUAAAAAGAUUGUAACGAAUAGCCCGACCCGGU